rnacentral:lncRNA from 12 species
AAGAAAACAGCUUUGAAGCACAGGAAGACAUGAACAUUCAGUGUUUCCUUCCGCCCCUGUGGCUUUCAGUGAGGCACUCCCAAUGAUUUCUAAGGUUUUAGUGUGUCAACCAGUGGGACUGUGAACUUCAGUUUCUACUCUGCUUUUGUUGACUUUGUUUGGGGUAUAUUUGGUUUUCUGUAUGAUUUUCUUUGUGUGCCAUUGUAUAAUAUGUUGGCUAUUUUGGAAAAGUCCGAUUAUGAGCCUGGGUGCUGGUUGCU